rnacentral:rRNA from 1 species
UGGGGAAUAUUGCACAAUGGGCGCAAGCCUGAUGCAGCCAUGCCGCGUGUAUGAAGAAGGCCUUCGGGUUGUAAAGUACUUUCAGUCGGGAGGAAGGUGUCAAGGUUAAUAACCUUGGCAAUUGACGUUACCGACAGAAGAAGCACCGGCUAACUCCGUGCCAGCAGCCGCGGUAAUACGGAGGGUGCAAGCGUUAAUCGGAAUUACUGGGCGUAAAGCGCACGCAGGCGGUUGAUUGAGUCAGAUGUGAAAUCCCCGGGCUUAACCCGGGAAUUGCAUCUGAUACUGGUCAGCUAGAGUCUUGUAGAGGGGGGUUGAAUUCCAUGUGUAGCGGUGAAAUGCGUAGAGAUGUGGAGGAAUACCGGUGGCGAAGGCGGCCCCCUGGACAAAGACUGACGCUCAGGUGCGAAAGCGUGGGGAGCAAACAGG